rnacentral:lncRNA from 10 species
AUUCCAUUGGGUUCAAUUCAAUGAUGAUUACAUUGGAUUCCGUUCUAUGAUUCCAUUCCAUUCCGUUCAUUGACAAUUUGAUUCCAUUCGAUGAUGAUUCCAUUUGAGUUCAUUCGAUGAUUCUAUUCGAUUCUCUUCGAUGGUGAUUCCAUUCUAUUACAUUGGAUGAUUCCAUUCGAUUCCAUUUGAUGUUGAUUCAAUUCGAUUCUAUUCGAUGAUGAUUCCAUUGGAUUUCAUUUGAUGAUUCUAUUCGAUUCCAUUCAAUGAUGAUUCACUUCUCGUCCAUUGGAUGAUUCCAUUUCAUUCCAUUCGAUGAUGAUUCCAUUCGAUUCCAUUCGAUGAUUCCAUUUGAUUCCAUUCGACGGUGAGCAAUUCGAUUCAAUUCCAUGAUGAUUCUAUUUGAUUCAAUUAGAUGAUGUUUCCAUUCGAAUCCAUUCCAUGAUUAUUCCAUUGGAAUCCAUUCGGCGAUGAUUCCAUAUGAGUCAAUUCAAUGAUGAUUCCAUAUGGCUCCGUUCGAUGAUAAUUCCAUUUGAUUUCAUUCGAUGCUUCUAUUCUAU